CGGUAACAUUUCUAGCUUGCUAGAAGAUGACGAGUGGCGGACGGGUGAGUAAUACUUAGGAAUAUGCCUUUGUGUGGGGGAUAACCAUUGGAAACGAUGGCUAAUACCGCAUAACGUCUUCGGACCAAAGGGGGCUUUUGCUCCCGCGCAAAGAGUAGCCUAAGCGAGAUUAGCUUGUUGGUGAGGUAAAGGCUCACCAAGGCGACGAUCUCUAGCUGUUCUGAGAGGAAGAUCAGCCACACUGGAACUGAGACACGGUCCAGACUCCUACGGGAGGCAGCAGUGGGGAAUAUUGCACAAUGGGGGAAACCCUGAUGCAGCCAUGCCGCGUGUGUGAAGAAGGCCUUCGGGUUGUAAAGCACUUUCAGUUGUGAGGAAAGGUUGAUGGUUAAUACCCAUCAGCUGUGACGUUAGCAACAGAAGAAGGACCGGCUAACUCCGUGCCAGCAGCCGCGGUAAUACGGAGGGUCCGAGCGUUAAUCGGAAUUACUGGGCGUAAAGCGCACGCAGGCGGUUUGUUAAGCUAGAUGUGAAAGCCCUGGGCUCAACCUGGGAAUUGCAUUUAGAACUGGCAGGCUAGAGUUUUGGAGAGGGGAGUGGAAUUCCAGGUGUAGCG
rnacentral:rRNA from 1 species